AUACGGAGGAUCCGAGCGUUAUCCGGAUUUAUUGGGUUUAAAGGGUGCGCAGGCGGGAGAUUAAGUCGGCGGUGAAAUUUUGCAGCUCAACUGUAAAAGUGCCUUCGAAACUGGUUUCCUUGAGUGUAGAUGAAGUAGGCGGAAUUUGUGGUGUAGCGGUGAAAUGCAUAGAUAUCACGAGGAACUCCGAUUGCGCAGGCAGCUUACUAAACUACUACUGACGCUCAGGCACGAAGGCGUGGGGAUCAAACAGGAGUAGAUACCCUGGUAGUCCACGCAGUAAACGAUGAUUACUAGCUGUUUGCGAUACAAUGUAAGCGGCUGAGCGAAAGCGUUAAGUAAUCCACCUGGGGAGUACGUUCGCAAGAAUGAAACUCAAAUGAAUUGACGGGG
rnacentral:rRNA from 1 species